UGCCUUGUAGUAUAUACUUUUAUUACCGUAAACUGCAACUUUACCGAAGCAAUCGCCAAGGCAU
rnacentral:tRNA from 1 species